ensembl:piRNA 21ur-1445 ncRNA
UAUGCCAUUUUCGAUUUCAUC